rnacentral:misc_RNA from 1 species
AAGUCGUAACAAGGUUUCCGUAGGUGAACCUGCGGAAGGAUCAUUAACACGUAUCCAAACGUUAAAACCCCCCCCGUGAACUUUCAAUCCUGCUCUUGUAACCCGCGUAGUUCCGCAAUCUCUGGUAAAUCAUAGCCCGGAAAGUUGUUUUGAUUCAGAGACCUCUGGCUACGUGAGAACAAUGGAACAGUUACAAUCGAGCGGUAGUUUCAUAGGCAUUGUUUCCCCAAGCAGUCAGUAUAGCGCUUCACGAUUCCUGUAGACCGUACACUCGGGCAGGAGCUAUGCCAAAGGGUCCCCAUGCCCCCUUACAACCCCACAGUUUAAUGUAAAGCUCAAUGUAAUACAUUGGGUAAAAAAACCGAACAACUGUUAACAAUGGAUAUCUUGGUUCUC